rnacentral:tRNA from 1 species
UACAUUUUAAUAUAUGAAGUAUAUAAAUUUUUGAUAUUUAAAGAAAUAAUUUAAUUUUAUUAAAUGUAU